AAAGGUCGCAGUUUAUUUUCUUUUAACACAGCCGCACGUGUUGAGGGCAUUGGUCUUCAGGUUUUUUUUUAUAUAACCAAAAUCUCUUUAUUUGAUUCAAGUUGUAGAAGACAGAGAGAAACAUAAACAUUGUGUACAACGGUUAAGUCGCGGACACAGCAAAUCCUUUCCAAUAGUUUGAAGCGGACAGCUGACCUUUGUAGCCCUCGUCUCUGCCACUGACAACUCACAAACCUCUCCCAGCCUCUUACAAACAACCUCUCUGUAGACGUUCAAUCAAGAAUACAACGUCACUAGAAUGCUAAGAGGCGCCUCCGCAGCGCCUACACAGCGCCUCUGCUCGCCUCCACCGCCGCCACCGCCACCGCCGUCGCACAAAGGAUCUUCUUUAUCUACUACUUACCGACUUUCGCUUUCAAUCGCUCUUACAGAUUUAA